rnacentral:lncRNA from 1 species
UUUUUCAUCUUGGUUUGAAUAGAUAUCAUCUUUCAUUCAAACUUUAGGCGAAAAACUAAUUAAAUCUUAAAUCUUAAACAAAUCCUAAUAAAAUCCAAAAUCCUAAACCAAAUCCUAAAUCAAAUCCUAAUCAAAUCCUAAAUCCUAAAUCAAAUCCUAAUCAAAUCUUAAAUCCUAAAUCCUAAAUCAAAUCCUAACCAAACCUUAAAUCCUAAAUCAAACCCUAAAUCCUAAACCAAAUCUUAACCAAAUCCUAAUCUUAAAUCAAAUCCUAAUCAAACCUUAAAUCCUAAAUUAAAUCUUAACCAAUCCUAAAUCAAAUCCUAAAUCCUAACCAAAUCCUAAUCAAAUCCUAAAUCCUAAUUAAAUUCUAAAUCCUAAACCAAAUCUUAAUCCUAAAUAAAAUCUCAAUCAAAUAUUAACUCUAAAUCAAAUCCUAAUCAAAUCCUAAUCUUAAAUCAAACCCUAACCAAAUCCUAAUCCUAAAUCAAAUCCUAAUCAAAUUCUAACCAUAAAUCAAACCCUAACCAAAUCCUAAUCCUAAAUCAAACCCUAAUCAAAUCUUAAACCAAAUCCUAGUAAUCCUACAAUAGAUUUACACCUCAAUUACUAAUGAAUGAACCGUUGAUCUUAAUUCAAAAUUUUCAUGCUUUUUAACAAUUAAGUUAAAA